rnacentral:rRNA from 1 species
UAGGGAAUAUUGGACAAUGGGGGCAACCCUGAUCCAGCCAUGCCGCGUGAGUGAAGAAGGCCCUCGGGUUGUAAAGCUCUUUUGUCCGGAAAGAAAAGCUUCGGGUUAAUACCCCGGGGUUCUGACGGUACCGGAAGAAUAAGCACCGGCUAACUUCGUGCCAGCAGCCGCGGUAAUACGAAGGGUGCAAGCGUUACUCGGAAUUACUGGGCGUAAAGCGUGCGUAGGUGGUUGUUUAAGUCUGAUGUGAAAGCCCUGGGCUCAACCGGGGAAUGGCAUUGGAGACUGGGAAGCUAGAGUGCGGUAGAGGGUAGUGGAAUUCCCGGUGUAGCAGUGAAAUGCGUAGAGAUCGGGAGGAACAUCUGUGGCGAAGGCGACUGCCUGGACCAGCACUGACACUGAGGCACGAAAGCGUGGGGAGCAAAC